rnacentral:lncRNA from 1 species
CAAAUAUCAAGCGACAGUCCUGUCCUAGGGAGUCCAUAGUCACCUGGGCUCUUGAAGCAGGAGCCUGCCCGGGUGGCUACCGAGCCCUCGGACCAGAUACACCUGAAGCCCCCUGGCCGCCCCCCAGCUGGGAAAGGUAAUCCCAGGGUAGAUUGGCCCAGAAGCAUUUUUGGCACAUUGCUUCUCAAACAAUUGCCAGAGGGGAUACUUUAGAGGACCGGUCUCAGAAUUGUUCCUUUACCAAAUGGAACUCCCUCCCUAGCUGUGGUGAUUGGUUGGAGUUGGAUGCCUAGUUUAAGUCCACAGAGAGACUAUAACCCUCGCUCAAGGAGACACCUUCUCCGGGGUUUUCUAACUGGUGCUAUGGAAACAGAACCUCUCGUCUCUGAGAGCUGUGAAGCCAGGAGUGCAGCGCUGACCUGCUCAUGGGUCUUAUCUCAGGAAGGGUCCUGGUCACAGGGAGUGCACGCUGCCCACUGCUGGAGGAAAACAGAGGACCAACAAGGGCUUCUGAUCCCUAGAGCCAGCUGAUGCUAAACCAGCCCCGCCCUGACCCUCCCUGCAGCUUGGUUAGUCUGCCCUGUGCCUCACCACCUUGG